rnacentral:rRNA from 1 species
UACGUAGGGUGCAAGCGUUGUCCGGAAUUAUUGGGCGUAAAGAGCUCGUAGGCGGUUUGUCGCGUCUGCUGUGAAAACGCGAGGCUCAACCUCGCGCCUGCAGUGGGUACGGGCAGGCUGGAGGCAGGCAGGGGAGAACGGAAUUCCCGGUGUAGCGGUGGAAAUGCGCAGAUAUCGGGAGGAACACCGGUGCGAAGGCGGUU